AUCAUUAACCCUAAUCUUAACCUACUUUUUCCCUCCCAAAUCUUAACAUUAACUCCUUCUAAGUGUAAUUCCUAAUCAACAUUCCACUUUCUAAUUCAAUUCCCUAUUCCCAAAGUUGUUCAAAAGUUGUAUGAAACAUGUGAUUACCGAUGCAUAUCCCUAUUCUCAAUUCAUUCUCCAAUUCGAACACACUGAUACCACUUCAUCAUCAGUUUCCUUUUCAUUUCCUCCCUCCUCUCAUCGACCGAACAUGACUCGCCGGCGACAACACCUACAUCUCCUCUUUCCUCUGUCACCACCAAAUACAACUCCGUCUUCGACCCAAUUUCACCUUCGCAUUCCGUCGAGGUUCGAAGAUUCCAGAUCCGACAACUAACGACCCAUAGAUUUCAACAUCUUUCUUUCUAAAGCUUGUUUGGUCAAGCCAUCAUUAACCCUAAUCUUAACCUACUUUUUCCCUCCCAAAUCUUAACAUUAACUCCUUCUAAGUGUAAUUCCUAAUCAACAUUCCACUUUCUAAUUCAAUUCCCUAUUCCCAAAGUUGUUCAAGAGUUGUAUUGUAUAUGAAACAUGUGAUUACCGAUGCAUAUCCCUAUUCUCAAUUCAUUCUCCAAUUCGAACACACUGAUACCACUUUAUCAUCAGUUUCCUUUUCAUUUCCUCCCUCCUCUCAUCGACCGAACAUGACUCGCCGGCGACAACACCUACAUCUCCUCUCUCCUCUGUCACCACCAAAUACAACUCCGUCUUCGACCCAAUUUCACCGUCGCAUCCCGUCGAGGUGUCGAUGAAGGUGAUGGAUAUGUGGGAAUUGAGGAGGAAUGUUUGUCGUAUAUCAUCUUUACCAAUAAUUUAUACUUUAUUUCUUCUCCUUUUUCCAUUUUUCUAUGAUCUGCAGGGAGAAUAUUUAGUGCAAAUUUGUUAUUAUACCUAACAAGUUUAUUUUGGGUCCUUUUUCUUCAUAUGAUUUUGUUUCAUAUCUUAACUGGUUAAUGUGUUACACAAUGUAUUUUUGGUAGUAACUGACUUACUAUGUAUCAUAUGCCUUUUUGCUUCAUUGUGUUAUUGCUUCUAAAAAAUCCGGUUUAUAUUUUGUGGUUUUUUUUUUAAAUUUAUUUUUUAUCUUGGUUUGGAUUGAGAUAGUUAUUAGUCUGUCCUCACCGACUAUUUGGAGAUCUUAAUCCAUGUCUAGACAUUUAGAGCAUGAUGUUUUGUCCCUCAAUAUAUUAUUAUUUUUUCUUUGGAACUUCGGUAAUUGAAUGAAGUGUUCUUUAUUUGUUUAAUCUCAUGGCAGGGAUUAGGGAAUUUUUUUAAUAGGAUGAUUGGCUUGAUCAUUAGGAUGGAUCAUUAGGAUGGAUCACUUUUACCACGCAAGGGACCAAAAUGAAACUUUUAAUAGUUAAGGGACCAAAACGAAACCAAAAAUAAGUUAAGGGACCAAAACGAAACUUUUAAUAGUUAAGGGACCAAAACGAAACCAAAAAAUAAGUUAAGGGACAAAAAGAGUAAUUAAGCCAAAAAUAAAAGCUGCAAUCAGUUCCUUAAAAUAGGUGCACAUCGAAACUGGUAAACCCGUCUGAAGAUGACAAUGUUGUUCUAAUGUUGGUUUUUCUGAAUGUUUGGGUAGUAUUAGGUGCACUAAAUAUGUUGUUUUGGGGUUUUGACAGAUUUGCCUGUUUGUUUUAAUCCCCUGCGUGGUUCCCUGUAAGCGGAGGGUUAUUGCCUUGCCUUCUACUGUUGGCAAGGUUUAGCUUUCAAUAAAUUUCGAUGCUUCAAAAAAACAAUUUUAAGGUUGUUCAAAAUCUCUAAAGAAGGGAUGCACUGUUAUAUCCGUUGGAAGCCAUUGAUUUUGGUCGAAGAAUGGCCAAUGAGAAAGAAAUAAAGACAUGUGCAGCAAAAGAAUAUAUAUUCACUCAAAACUCAUCCUCUAUAUUGAGUUGCCUAUAGGAGUUUGAACUUUUACUGAAUCAGGUGUUUUUCUUGGUUGUUUUUUUUUUUUGCAUAACUUGGAGCUGGUCCAAGGUAAUUUUCUGCAUAAUUUGGAGCGAGUUUUAGGGAUUUUAUGCUUAGUUUGGAGCAGGUUUCAGGCCUGUCGGCUGCUGUUGUGCAAUGGCAAUAGUUCUCACUUUCUCUGUUUUCUAACAUGGAAGGUUUCUUAACAUUUUCAUGCGUUUUUUUGUAGUUUAUAAUUGUUUGAUUAAGUGGCUAUUGAUUUCACAAUUGUUUAUGGUGUUGAUUUUUGUUUUGAUAAUCUGACUUAUAUCCAAUUUAUAAGUUAUCUUGAUAUAGAUCCUGAAAGCACUAUCCUUCAAAUAUAUACCAUGAUCUAUUGUUUUAUUCUAAAUUUCUAACGUACAUGCAAAGAAACAGUGUGUACAUUUGGCAAUAUUUUCACAUAGUCCCUAAAGUGACUAUAUAGUGCAAAUUGAACUAAAUCUCUUAUAUGCAUGAGUGGAUUACUUACAUGUAUUGUUAGCAGCCAACACUCGGGUGGGAUUUAGUCCCACAUCGGAUAGAUAGGUUUCUUGAGAAGAGUUUAUAAAGAGGAGGCACUCCUCACCGUACAAGCUGGUUUUGUGGGGAUGAGUUAGGCCUCGAUAUUCGUUACAUGGUAUCAGAGGAUGAGUUAGGCCUCGAUAUUCGUUACAUGUAUAUGUUUAUGUAUUGAAAGUAUCAUAUAUACGCCCUUGAACUACUAUUCUGAAAGCACUUAUUUUAUUUGUAGAACAAUUUACUGUCACUAAUUGGGUGCAUGUUCUUGCCAAAUACUCUUAUUUGUUUCUAUACGGCAGAUUUGAAGAAGCAUAUAUAUGUAUGUCUGAAUAAAAGUAGAUCAAAAUACCUGUUCUAGAUGUUAAAAAAUUUGCUCAAGUUAUGUUAGAUGAGAUUCUCUACGAUACAUAUAUACUUUCAACUUAUUGAUUUUGACAUGUUUUUUGUUAUAACUUUUUUUCUUCAUAUUUUUUUUUGUGCACUGAUAGUUAUUGUUAGGCAUACUGGAAAGUUACAUCUCCUAUUCGAUAAAUGACAAAUGUCAAUUUGACUGGGGAUAGAGCACAAUUAGUUCUGCAUUUAGUAUUGAAAAUAUUAGUUAAUUUAGGACCGGAUUCUAUAUUUUUUGGCUGAUUUCUUGAUCCGCAAACCAUGCUUCGGCUCCUCUUGGAUGCAUUAGAUAUGAUUGGGCAUGGUACUUUUGCUUUUGAUUUAUCCUGUCAUAAACUUGAAAUUGCUCGGUAUGGGUAGCGUGUUUCAGUUUUAACGGUGUUGCUGUUUCAGGAUGUUGGCAGCUAUAUAUAUCUGGAGUGGGGAGCUGCUGUAUCACCAUCAGCGGAGAUGCGGCUUGCAUAUUGUCCAUUUUAGGAUUUUUCCUGCUCACCACAUUUAUUGUGACUUGCUAUAUUUUGUGGGGGUGCCUUAUAAAGGUGCAACUCAUGCUUCUUUCUAGCAUCGGUUACCUUUGUUGAAGGUUGAUUGGUUUUGGAGUUAUAAUUCUCUUUCGUUUUCUGCAUUGUAAAGUAAGUUAUUUUCAUUCAUAUUGUUGAUGGUUUAUCAGAUACACGGACGACAAGUAGCAAUUGCAUCAGUAUUUGGAGGUGAGAGUUUGUAGUCAUUUGAGCUGAAAUUGUUUCCGUUUAGGGCAGUUGCUGUUUGCCAAAGAUAUGUUCAGGAGUUUCGUGCAGAUUAUUCAUCAGUAGCAUUUUACUCUUCAAGCAUGUCUUCAAUAGUGCAGCCAUUUCCCCCUCAAUUUUGUAUAAGUUUCCAUUAUUGUUUCUGUCGCGCCAUUUUUCGGGAUCAAGGCCAUUUGAUUA